rnacentral:rRNA from 1 species
AUUGAACGCUGGCGGCAGGCCUAACACAUGCAAGUCGAACGAGUGGCGGACGGGUGAGUAAUGUCUGGGAAACUGCCCGAUGAGGGGGGAUAACACCUGGAAACGGUAGCUAAUACCGCAUACCAUCGGAUGUGCCCAGAUGGGAUUAGCUAGUAGGUGGGGUAACGGAUCACCUAGGCGACGAUCACUAGCUGGUCUGAGAGGAUGACCAGCCACACUGGAACUGUGACACGGUCCAGACUCCUACGGGAGGCAGCAGUGGGGAAUAUUGCACAAUGGGCGCAAGCCUGAUGCAGCCAUGCCGCGUGUAUGAAGAAGGCCUUCGGGUUGUAAAGUACUUUCAGCGAGGAGGCGUUACUCGCAGAAGAAGCACCGGCUAACUCCGUGCCAGCAGCCGCGGUAAUAC